rnacentral:rRNA from 1 species
AUUGAACGCUGGCGGCAGGCCUAACACAUGCAAGUCGAGCGAGCGGCGGACGGGUGAGUAAUGUAUGGGGACUGCCCGUUAGAGGGGGAUAACUACUGGAAACGGUGUCUAAUACCGCAUACUAUCGGAUAACCCAUAUGGGAUUAGCUAGUGGGUGGGUAAAAGGCUCACCUAGGCGACGAUCUCUAGCUGGUCUGAGAGGAUGAUCGGCCAAACUGGGACUGAGACACGGCCCAGACUCCUAGGGAGGCAGCAGUGGGGAAUAUUGCACAAGGGGCGCAAGCCUGAUGAAGCCAUGCCGCGUGUAUGAAGAAGGCCUUAGGGUUGUAAAGUACUUUCAGCGGGGAGGCGUUACCCGCAGAAGAAGCACCGGCUAACUCCGUGCCAGCAGCCGCGGUAAUUC